rnacentral:rRNA from 1 species
AGAGUUUGAUCCUGGCUCAGAGUGAACGCUGGCGGUAGGCCUAACACAUGCAAGUCGAACGGCAGCACAGUAAGAGCUUGCUCUUAUGGGUGGCGAGUGGCGGACGGGUGAGGAAUACAUCGGAAUCUACUUUUUCGUGGGGGAUAACGUAGGGAAACUUACGCUAAUACCGCAUACGACCUUCGGGUGAAAGCAGGGGACCUUCGGGCCUUGCGCGAUUGAAUGAGCCGAUGUCGGAUUAGCUAGUUGGCGGGGUAAAGGCCCACCAAGGCGACGAUCCGUAGCUGGUCUGAGAGGAUGAUCAGCCACACUGGAACUGAGACACGGUCCAGACUCCUACGGGAGGCAGCAGUGGGGAAUAUUGGACAAUGGGCGCAAGCCUGAUCCAGCCAUACCGCGUGGGUGAAGAAGGCCUUCGGGUUGUAAAGCCCUUUUGUUGGGAAAGAAAAGCAGCGGGCUAAUACCCAGCUGUUCUGACGGUACCCAAAGAAUAAGCACCGGCUAACUUCGUG